UUGAAAAUAACAGAAAUACUAAAUAAUAAUAAUCUAGCCCAAAAGAAAAGAAGAAAGAAAAUUCUAUUAAUUAUAAUAGUCAUCAUAGUUAUAAUAAUAAUAAUAAUUUGUUAUUAAAGUUUGUAUAAUCGGCUACAUGUUUGUAUUUUCAUCUACGGCUUCCCUUCGGUCUUGAAAAUUCACAAACAAUCAAUAUUGGAUCAAUACAUUCUUUAUAUUAUAAAAAUUUAAUCGUAGAAUUGUAUCUACAAAACUACAGCAACAGCAAGCGAGUUGUCUGAAUAAUUCUGAAAUAGCCAUUAACGAAAACGACGACAAAAUAUAUUUGUAAAGAUCAACUGAAAUAACAAACGAAGACAUUGGCAUUCAAUUGCUCAAGUGGGGGGGAUAAUCAACGUUCAUCUUUAAUGAUUUCUCAAUAUUUUCAUUUUCAACAUAAAUAAAAAAUAAAAUGAUCAAAUCAUCAUAAUUUCCAAAGUUUUAUUCGAUCAU